AAUGAACGCUGGCGGCAGGCCUAACACAUGCAAGUCGAACGGGUCCUUCGGGACUAGUGGCGGACGGGUGAGUAACGCGUGGGAACGUGCCCUUUGCUACGGAAUAGCCCCGGGAAACUGGGAGUAAUACCGUAUAAGCCCUACGGGGGAAAGACUUAUCGGCAAAGGAUCGGCCCGCGUUGGAUUAGGUAGUUGGUGGGGUAAUGGCCUACCAAGCCGACGAUCCAUAGCUGGUUUGAGAGGAUGAUCAGCCACACUGGGACUGAGACACGGCCCAGACUCCUACGGGAGGCAGCAGUGGGGAAUCUUAGACAAUGGGGGAAACCCUGAUCUAGCCAUGCCGCGUGAUCGAUGAAGGCCUUAGGGUUGUAAAGAUCUUUCAGGUGGGAAGAUAAUGACUGUACCACCAGAAGGAGCCCCGGCUAACUCCGUGCCAGCAGCCGCCGCAG
rnacentral:rRNA from 1 species